GAGAUCUACACUCUUUCCCUACACGACGCUCUUCCGAUCUAAGAGUUUAAGUUUCUCGUCUUAGGAUCAUCCGGGGUCAUUCGUACUCGUCCGCGAGAGGUGAAAUUCUUGGACCGGACGAAGACGACCAGCAGCGAAAGCAUCUGUCAGGGAUGUUUUCUGCGACAAAGGACGAAGGUCAGGGUAUCGAAGACGAUUAGAUACCGUCGUAGUCCUGACUGUAAACUAUGCCAACUUGGGUCUUGCUGGGCGAUGCUUUGUGAGACCCACACAGAAAUGAAAGUGUAUGGGUUCUGGGGGUAGUAUGGACACAAGUCUGAAACUUGAAGGAAUUGACGGAAGAGCACCAUAAGACGUGGAGCUUGCGGCUUAAUUUGACUCAACGCGGGAAAACUUACCAGGUCAAGACAUGGGCGUGAUUGACAGGCUAAUGACUUUUCUCGAUUCCAUGGAUGGUGGUGCAUGGUCGCACUUAGUUGGUGCAGUGAUUUGUCAGGUUUAUUCCGGUAACGAACGAGACCUCGGCCUUGUAAAUAGCUAUGCUGCUUACAGGGACAUUGGCGGCUACGCCAAGGAAGCUCGAGGCAAUUGCAGAUCUGGAAUGCCCUUAGAUGUCCUGGGUCGCACGCGUGCUACAAUGACGCCACGAACGAGCUUGCAUGAUGAAAGUUAUGCAUAAUCAGCAGUCGGCGUCUUAAGGGAUAGUCUCUUGUAACUGUGGGACUCCAACUAGGAAUGUCUCGUAAGCACAAGUCAACAUCUUGUGUUGAUUACGUCCCUGCUCUUUGUACACACCGCCCGUCGCUCCUACCGAUCGAGUGUUUAGGUGAAUUUGAUGGACGUAAGGAAGUCAAAU
rnacentral:rRNA from 1 species